rnacentral:misc_RNA from 1 species
AUGAGAUCAUGCCCCUCGGGGUAGACCUCCCACCCUUUGUUUACAAUACCUUUGUUGCUUUGGCGGCCCCGUCGCAAGACAACCGGCUCCGGCUGGUCAGCGGCCGCCAGAGGACCCAAAACUCAUAUUGUCAUUGUCGUCUGAGUACUAUAUAAUAGUUA